rnacentral:miRNA from 14 species
AGGUGUGUGUCUGUGUGUGCACGUGCAUGUGCCCAUGUACGUGCACGUGCACACACACACACACACACACACACACAAACACACAGA